UGAGGAAUAUUGGUCAAUGGACGAGAGUCUGAACCAGCCAAGUAGCGUGAAGGAUGACUGCCCUAUGGGUUGUAAACUUCUUUUAUACGGGAAUAAAGUGAGGCACGUGUGCCUUUUUGUAUGUACCGUAUGAAUAAGGAUCGGCUAACUCCGUGCCAGCAGCCGCGGUAAUACGGAGGAUCCGAGCGUUAUCCGGAUUUAUUGGGUUUAAAGGGAGCGUAGGCGGACGCUUAAGUCAGUUGUGAAAGUUUGCGGCUCAACCGUAAAAUUGCAGUUGAUACUGGGUGUCUUGAGUACAGUAGAGGCAGGCGGAAUUCGUGGUGUAGCGGUGAAAUGCUUAGAUAUCACGAAGAACUCCGAUUGCGAAGGCAGCUUGCUGGACUGUAACUGACGCUGAUGCUCGAAAGUGUGGGUAUCAAACAGGAUUAGAUACCCUGGUAGUCCACACAGUAAACGAUGAAUACUCGCUGUUUGCGAUAUACAGUAAGCGGCCAAGCGAAAGCGUUAAGUAUUCCACCUGGGGAGUACGCCGGCAACGGUGAAACUCAAAGGAAUUGACGGGGGCCCGCACAAGCGGAGGAACAUGUGGUUUAAUUCGAUGAUACGCGAGGAACCUUACCCGGGCUUGAAUUGCAACUGAAUGAUGUGGAGACAUGUCAGCCGCAAGGCAGUUGUGAAGGUGCUGCAUGGUUGUCGUCAGCUCGUGCCGUGAGGUGUCGGCUUAAGUGCCAUAACGAGCGCAACCCUUAUCGAUAGUUACCAUCAGGUUAUGCUGGGGACUCUGUCGAGACUGCCGUCGUAAGAUGUGAGGAAGGUGGGGAUGACGUCAAAUCAGCACGGCCCUUACGUCCGGGGCUACACACGUGUUACAAUGGGGGGUACAGAAGGCAGCUACACGGCGACGUGAUGCUAAUCCCUAAAGCCUCUCUCAGUUCGGAUUGGAGUCUGCAACCCGACUCCAUGAAGCUGGAUUCGCUAGUAAUCGCGCAUCAGCCACGGCGCGGUGAAUACGUUCCC
rnacentral:rRNA from 2 species